UUCGUAGGUGGUGCGGCAAGUUGGGAGUGAAAUCUCUGGGCCUAACUCAGAGGCUGCUUUCAAAACUGCCGUGCUCGAGUGCGAGAGAGGCCAGUGGAAUUGCAGGUGUAGCGGUGAAAUGCGUAGAUAUCUGCAGGAACACCCGUGGCGAAGGCGGCUGGCUGGAUCGCAACUGACACUGAGGAACGAAAGCUAGGGGAGCAAACAGGAUUAGAUACCCUGGUAGUCCUAGCCCUAAACCAUCAGAACUUGGGGUGGCUCGCGUAGGCGGGUCGUCCCGUAGCUAACGCGUUAAGUUCUGCGCCUGGGGAGUACGGUCGCAAGACUGAA
rnacentral:rRNA from 1 species